ensembl:lncRNA
UACUUCGACAUAAUACUAUCUAUCACAAAUGCCAUCUUACUUUUAAAGGUCCAUCGAUAUCAGGAUGAUAAAUCCUAUAAACCUUUUAUGUCUGUGUAGGUGCAGCCCCUCGGCCAUGGCUCUCCAUUGUGGAAACCAAAGACAAGGAAGUGGUCCUGAAGUGUGAGGCUGAAGGGUUAGUCUAUAAGCCUGAGUUGGUGCUGCUGAACAGUGAUGGAACCAUCCCCCCUGCUGAUGAACCUACAGAGAAACCCAUGGACUCAGAGGGCUUGUACACAUUGGCACGCUUUUUCACUGUCCAGAAGACUGCCACCAACGUGUUCACCUGUCGAGUUCAACAGCUGGAGAUCAAACACAUGAGGGAGACACAGAUUCAUGUUCCAGACAAAAUGUUUCAUGAGGAAGGAUGGAAAAUUGGAUUUGGAAUUGGAUGUAUUGUAGGGGGUGUUGUGGUGGGUGUUGUGGUUUUUCUGUGCAUGCGGAAAAACAACCCCAACAACGCCCUUAAACAGCACUCAGAAGAAAAAGCGAAAGGUAAUUCAUGGAUGUGUGACAUGAACUUCUUGGUUUUAGCCCUUUUCCAAUACUUUAAAGUCGCACUCCAGUCUCGUUUUCACCUCAUUUAUCACCGGAUGACAUCAUAGGGCACCAUCAGACCAACACCUACUCCUUGUUACAAAAAAAAAAUAUUUUGGUGAACGUUACUGUAUUUAUACAUGGGAUAUUUUUUUUAACUGGAAUGCUCUUUAAAAUGCAUCCUUCUCUCCUCCCUUAUUUUCAGUAUUUACUGAUCUAAUAAGUGACACAUGAAGGGCUCCACUACAUAGUAGCUUUCACCAGUCCAGUGAUGAUACCAAUGAAUGUUUCAAAUGAUAGUCAUAGUUAUUUUACCCAAAGUAAUAAGUGUUUAAAUGUGUCACUUAGUUGACUGUGUUCAUGUGGUGUGUUAUUAGUCCGUUCUGUAAGAUUAAAUCCCGUCUCUCAUCCAUUUACACAGAAACCAAUGGCGGGUAUGCAGAUUGCAAGAUUUCCCUCCUCGAGAACAGGAACCUGGAGAACAGCAAUGUAAAUGGCCAUCCUAAUGGUGUGCGUGUUUCACAACCUGGAGAACGGGACAGCAAACAUACCCUUGAUUGAUUCCACCAGCCACCCUCGGCGAUGUAAUGAGAGAGACACUUUUAUCACCUGCAGUCUGCUCUGGACUUGGGGACAGUGAAGAGACCUCUGGUGGCAUGUCUUGUGGGGUAUACAUGGAUUUCCGAGCUGUGUGCAAGUAUUUUAAACCGUCAGAUCUGUACAUUCAGCUUGUCAACACCUCUUACAAAAACAAGUAGUGAUGAAGUCAAUCUCUUUUCCACUUUGAGCCAUGAGGGAUUGACAUGCAUGUCAUUAAUGUUAGCUCUCCAAGUACUUUUAAGGGCCAGCCAACUGUAAUAGGACUGGUGGAGUUGUCACACAUGCAGCUAACAAAAAUAUAUGGAAAUGUGUGACAACUAAUUGAAGCAUUACCACAAAAAUGUGACACACUGAACUCUAUCAGAGAAGUAGUUGGUAAACCAGGCGAGGCAAUCAUUUCAGAAACCAAGGCUGUCGAGUCUGCCAAUAAGAAUGUGGUGAUUGACAGAGUCGAAAGCCUUGGCCAGGUCGAUGAAUACGGCUGCCCAUUAAUGUCUCUUAUCGAUGGCGGUUAUGAUGUCGUUUAUCAAUGGCAAUUUGAAUGCACAGAAAUACUGUGAUGAAAUGUAUGCAUUCUCACUACUGUAAGUCGCUCUGGAUAAGAGCGUCUGCUAAAUGACUAAAAUGUAAAUGUACAUGUAAAAAGGGAAGAAGAGACAGAAUCAUUAGAUCAUUUCUGUUGGUACUGUCCAUAUGUAGCUUGUUUUUGGUCACCGGUCCAGCAAUCGCAACAUUUACCUGGAGCCAACUCUGCAAAUAGCACUGCUGGGUGAUUUGAAAAGUCAAGACAAUCGAUCAAUAUAAUAAUAAUACUUAUAGCAAAAAUGUUUCUUUAAUUUACAAUCUGUAGAAACUAUGAGAAUAGAAAGGUUCAGAACUUUUGUUUAGCAUCACAGCACAGUUGAAAAAUAUAUUGCAAAUAUAAAUAAAAAAGGAUGGUGUUGAGAGAUGGGAUGAAGUUGGGUUGAAUGAAGCUGAAGGGUGGGACUAAACAAUAUUAUGAAUGCCAACUGACAAUUUGCGAGCUAUUGGCUAUAUUUUUGCUUACGGGUAAAAAUAAAUAGGGAGAGCUGGUUAUGAGCGCUGUGCUAUAUUUGGCUAUUCAGGUCUGGUUAGUUGAAUCGUAAAAGGUUUGUGAUAGUUUCUGGUUAUUGAUUCUUGGUUUGAAUGUUUAGGUAACACCAGUGAAUUUGAGCAGGAAGUUAAUGUAUUCUAACAUUAUAAUUUUUUUUAAUUUAUUUUUUUAUUUUACCGUUAUUUUACCAGGUAAGUUGACUGAGAACACAUUCUCAUUUACAGCAACGACCUGGGGAAUAGUUACAGGGGAGAGGAGGGGGAUGAAUGAGCCAAUUGUAAGCUGGGGAUGAUUAGACAGCCGUGAUGGUAUGAGUGCCAGAUUGGGAAUUUAGCCAGGACACCGGGGUUAACACCCCUACUCUUACGAUAAGUGCAAUGGGAUCUUUAAUGACCUCAGAGAGUCAGGACACCCGUUUAACGUCCCAUAAUCUGUUUCCAUUACAUGGAACAAUGUCAGGUCAGUAAAGUGAAUUGCAGGUUGAGUUCAUUUUAUUUUUACAGGGACAGUGCAAAUUCAUCGUGUGUGUGUGUGUGUCUAAUGGCAGGAUAUUCCAGACAUGGGAAGCUCUAUCACUGAAAGCUGAUUGACUAAAGGUGCUUUUCCUUCAGAAUAAUAAUUAAAGGACGUAACCACAACAUCUUGUGUCUUAAAGACAAAACCUGGGCAGCUGUGUUAAGUUUACAUACAGUCAUCUCUCAUGGCGGACCUUCUGCUGCCAUAAGGUUUGGGUUUUCUAUUGAACAAAAGUACUGAGUGAAGGAGGAGCCUGGACAUUUAGGAUCUUGAAUACAAGAUAUGCGUCAGUGUAUUGCACAAUAUUUUUUUCAAUUUAGGAGCUUAUGCUUUCUAUAGCUAUUUGGCUUCCUAUCAAGCACUUUGAGAGCCUGUUUGCAGACAGACUGAAUGGGUUUUAAUGUUGCAAAGCAAGCCUGGGCCAAACUAGUCAAGUAGUAUGUUAAGUGGGGGAGUAUCAUAGAUUUGAAGUAUAGUUUUGUUACCUCUGUAGUAAAACAAUUUAAUAUGUUUUGGAAAUUGGCUAGGUUCAAUUUGGUUAUUUGAAUUACCUUUUUCAGUUGCUUUUUAAAAGAGAGGUUGGAAUCCAAGUAUGAUGCCAUGGUACUUAAAAUCAGAUAUCACCUGGAACUUUUCCCCUGAUACAUAGACAUUUGUCUCAGGGGCAUCAGUUGUUUUCUUUGAGGAACAUACAGACUGUGUUUUUAAAAAAUAAAUGAUUGAGAUGCAAACAUGAGUCUCUGAGCAACUUUGUCAUCUGAACCAUUACAGUAGUGAGUUAUUGUGUAGCUUGUUGUUUGUUAUUUGCAUGCAUUGAUCACGGUAUCAUCUGCAUACAUUGGAACUUCAGACCCUGUACAGACAGAAGGAAGAUCAU